CCGAGUGAGGGCCCUCUGGGUCCAACCUCCCACCCGUGUUUAUCGUACCUUGUUGCUUCGGCGGGCCCGCCGCAAGGCCGCCGGGGGGCUUCCGUCCCCGGGCCCGCGCCCGCCGAAGACACCUGUGAACGCUGUAUGAAGAUUGCAGUCUGAGCGAAAAGCUAAAUUUGUUA
rnacentral:misc_RNA from 1 species